GAUGAAUGCUCAAUGCUGAAGCUGCAGCUGAAAGAGAGGGAUGAACUCAUUUCCCAACUUCAGGAAGAGCUGGAAAAAGUCCAGCAUUUACAGAAGGCUUUUGCUUCAAGAGUAGAUAAAUCCACACAGACUGAACUCCUAGGCUAUGAUGCCCUGUGGAAUCCUACAUGCACUGAAGGUUUAUUUAAACCAGUACAUAUUUCAACCUAGGUUAAAUCAUUAUUUGACCAUAAGGAAUGUAUCGCAAAUCGGUGACAUGUUAAAUAUUGAAUAUAAUCAGUUUUCCAUUACUACAUUUGUUAGCCAUUUCUCAGAGUAUGUAAUACAGAAAUGUUUUCAUUACAAAUAUUUGACACUAUUUGCAUUUGUACCAAAUUGCAUAAAAUAUUGAUGGAUGAACUUUCAACUAACAUAUCCCUACCUUAUCCUUAAUGUAUUUUUAAAGCAAAAAUAGACCUUUAUUUAAAAAUUAUCUCUAUGUGCAGCUUUCUAGAAUGUAAUAUUCCACUUGGCAGUACAUAUUUUUUGUUCAACUUUGUCAUCCGUGUCACUUGUCACUUUGGUUAUAGUCUUCAUUUAAUUUCACCACAUAUUCUCUGUGUAUUGGGUAAGUUGGAAAACAAUGUUUCUAGUCUCACCCAUCUUAGUGGGACAGUGUCUACAGAAGAGCUAAAUUAUCUUUAUUUAUUUCCUUGCAUUGAGAUCAAAGAUAGGAUAAAUAAUGAAGUCUUAUUCUAACUACAGAAGGUCAGAAAACUAGAAGUCUAAACAAGUGAGGGAAGUUUAUUGGAUUUGGACCUUAUAUUGAGGGAAGUUUCUUGAGUGUGUCAUAAAUGAAAGCCUGCUUUCCAGACUUGACAUUGCCACCUGAUUUUGGUGUGUCCCUGUUUUUUUAAUUUUGAACAAUAAGUUCACUUUAAUUAUCAAACAGCCAGGUGGCAACAAGGCACUCUUAAAUGUUGUAGUUUAUUGCAAGGAUAAGUGGCUCAAUGUUGUGGGCAGGGUACAGGGUAACAGAAGAGCCAUAGAAUGAAGGAGAAGAAAGUAGGCUUUACUCAGUUCUCUAUUUCUCAGAGGCAAUUAAUUAAUUAUGAUUAAUGGUAGUAUCAUUCAGAAAUAUGUUAUCAAACAUUUUAAGUUAUUUGAAUCAUUAUGUAACAUAUAGUAUACAUGAGCAAAUGCUGGGUUUAAGCUAUGGUAUUAAAAUAAAACUAUAAGUGUAUUUAUUUACAUGAAAACAUUGUAUGUGUCCUUGUUGACUUUGCCACUUGACUCACCCUUUUACGAUCCAAGAUACAAAAACCUCUUUGUGUCUCUGACAGUUUUCUAGAGUUUAUUCUUUUAUCCUUAUUUCUUUCUUUUUAUUGUCUUAUUUUAUAUUUGAAAUCUUUAAAUGUGGAUAAUGUGAGAAACAUCACCUACAGUAAAGCACUCUGGUAAAGAUUUUUGUCCGUUUGAUUGGUCAGUUAUCAUUUUGAAGAAGAAAGAAUUCAGUUAAAGAUAUUUUGACUAGGAUACAAUAAAAAAAUAAUAAAAAAACUUGUAUUAGGAACUAGAGUGAGUCAAUAAAGAUACUUUUUGCCUCAAAGGCAACAUUGCAGAAACUGUCAGUAUAAAUAAAAAAAAGACGCCUACCUCAAAAGGUACAAUUUUAAGACAUUUCAGUGCUGCUUACUCAGAAAUCCCCUUUUAUUUUGAUUUUAUUUUACAUUUUUAAUGGAACUCGAGCUGAAUAUAAUAGGCAAAAAUCUUUACAGGUUAAUGAUUUUACUUUCAUGGAAAAAAUAUUCAGAUCUUUUUACAAUGUUAUAAUCUGUCCAUUUAGCUAUAAAAUGUGUUUAUUUGAUUACAUUAAAAGUGAAUUAAAAACAGGGAUUAACGUGGGGGGCAUUGUUAUUGUUUUUAGAAAAAUGUAUAAGAACCAUUGCAAUUACUGUACUAUACUCCAGCAUGUAAUAAAAUUAAAGUUGAUAAUCCUUUUCCAAGAAGAAGCAAGAGACGUCAGAAUACAUCUGACCGUUGCAAGUAGUGCCACAUCAGUAUGUAUCAAUGAAUGGAAACAUCAUGCUUUACUUUUAUGCUUGCAUGUUUGUCUGAAAUCCUCUGAAGGGAACUAACUAAAAAUAAGAGAUGGACAAGCUUAAUUAUAUAAUUUUUUCCAAAUAAGAAAAGUGGAAUUGGAAGAGGUAGAAUGACUUUCUCAAGUUCAUGUAACUUUUCUAACAUGUCAAAGACAUAGACGGUGCUUGGAUCUUCCAAAUCAAAAGUAAGGAUUUUGUUUCGUUUUCUGUUUUCAGGUGGAUUGCAUGACUGCAAAAAUUGUUACAUGUGCAAAUAUAGAGAUAAUUUAUAUACUGUAUAUAUGGUAUAUGUUAUUAAAGACUGAAUUUCCCUAAAGUCUGCAUUAUGGACUAGAGAUUAUUAUGAUGAUGAACAUUUACUGUGUUAAUGCUUAAUUUUCUAAGUUGUGUAAUAUAUUAGCUAAGGAUAUAAUUUUAUAAUAAUAAGGAUUAUUUAUUCAAAUAUAGAUAAGUGC